rnacentral:rRNA from 1 species
UACGUAGGGUGCGAGCGUUGUCCGGAAUUAUUGGGCGUAAAGAGCUUGUAGGCGGUUUGUCGCGUCUGCUGUGAAAAUCCGGGGCUCAACCCCGGACUUGCAGUGGGUACGGGCAGACUAGAGUGUGGUAGGGGAGACUGGAAUUCCUGGUGUAGCGGUGGAAUGCGCAGAUAUCGGGAGGAACACCGAUGGCGAAGGCAGGUCUCUGGGCCACUACUGACGCUGAGAAGCGAAAGCGUGGGGAGCGAACAGG